CGCCUCAUGCCUGAAAGGGCAACGACGUCGAGUCGGAGCGAGGAGUCAGCAGAGGCCAUAGUAGUUGGGCGGUGUGGCUGGGAAAGCUAAAGCUGCCGGCGAAGGGC
rfam:Burkholderia ubonensis strain MSMB782WGS MSMB782WGS_60, whole genome shotgun sequence.